GAUGAACGCUGGCGGCGUGCCUAAUACAUGCAAGUCGAGCGAACGGACGAGAAGCUUGCUUCUCUGAUGUUAGCGGCGGACGGGUGAGUAACACGUGGAUAACCUACCUAUAAGACUGGGAUAACUUCGGGAAACCGGAGCUAAUACCGGAUAAUAUUUUGAACCGCAUGGUUCAAAAGUGAAAGACGGUCUUGCUGUCACUUAUAGAUGGAUCCGCGCUGCAUUAGCUAGUUGGUAAGGUAACGGCUUACCAAGGCAACGAUGCAUAGCCGACCUGAGAGGGUGAUCGGCCACACUGGAACUGAGACACGGUCCAGACUCCUGCGGGAGGCAGCAGUAGGGACUCUUCCGCAAUGGGCGAAAGCCUGACGGAGCACCGCCGCGUGAGUGAUGAAGGUCUUCGGAUCGUAAAGCUCUGUUAUUAGGGAAGAACAUAUGUGUAAGUAACUGUGCACAUCUUGACGGUACCUAAUCAGAAAGCCACGGCUAACUACGUG
rnacentral:rRNA from 1 species